AUGGGAGAUGCUGACCCGGUGACCAAUGACCUGUGUCUGACAUUGUCUUUCUGCCCAGGGGUGAGCUGCCUACAGCAGGUGGAGCAGAGUCCUCAGUCUCUGAAGAUCCAGCAGGGAGAGAGGACCAUGAUCAACUGCAGUUACACAGAGGCUACUAAUCAAGCGCUGCAUUGGUUCAGGCAGGAUCCUGAGGAAGGCCUCACCUCUCUAUUUUACAUAACUUCAGGGGAGAAGCAGAAUGGAAGAUUCAGAUGCAUGUACAGCAGGACGGAGCGCCAUAGCUCUCUGCACCUCACUGAAGCUCAGCCUGAAGACUCAGCCACCUACCUCUGUGCUGUGGAGGCACAGUGA